rnacentral:rRNA from 1 species
ACUCAAAUGAAUAGACGGGGGCCCGCACAAGCAGCGGAGCGUGUUGCUUAAUUCGAUGCAACGCGAAGAACCUUACCUGGGUUUGACAUGCUAGGAAAAGCCGUAGAGAUACGGUGUCCUUCGGGGCUUAGCACAGGUGGUGCAUGGCUGUCGUCAGCUCGUGUCGUGAGAUGUUGGGUUAAGUCCCGCAACGAGCGCAACCCUUAUUCUAUGUUGCCAGCGCGUAAUGGCGGGGACUCGUAGGAGACUGCCGGGGUCAACUCGGAGGAAGGUGGGGACGACGUCAAGUCAUCAUGCCCCUUAUAUCCAGGGCUGCAAACACGCUACAAUGGCCGGUACAAAGGGCUGCGAACUCGCGAGGGUAAGCGAAUCCCAUAAAGCCGGUCUCAGUUCGGAUUGUAGGCUGCAACUCGCCUGCAUGAAGCUGGAGUUGCUAGUAAUCCCGGAUCAGCACGCCGGGGUGAAUACGUUCCCGGGCCUUGCACACACCGCCCGU